GUAAAUAAGUAGAUAAUAAAAAUAAAUGAAUGAUAUAGAAAUGAGUCAUAUGGCCUUUUCCAGCAACAACAAAAUCCAGCGUUAAAGCAAAACUCAUCACUAGUCAGUAAAUUUCGCACAACGGUAAUAAGAAAAUAGAUAAUGAUUUGGAAUUUAGUUACCAGCUUUGAUGAAUAUUAAAAAGAAUGAGUUGCAGGAAUCAUUAAAGAACAACAUAUUUAAGCUUCUUCUCUAACAUAAACCACAAGGCAUAAAUGAAACAAGCUUCCAUUGCUAAAGCAAAAAAGUCAAAAAAUCAUAAUGCAUCUCUUAAUUCAGCUGUGAGCAUAUGUUUAGAUCAAAAAGGAAAACCCAUCGCAAUGAUGAUAACGAGUUGUAAGCUGAAGAUGAGGGUUUCACGACGGAGGUGAAGGGUGGAUUCGCGGCGGUCGGAGAGUUGAGGAAUAGUGGAGGUCGCGUUUGUCGGCGUGAAAAGGAGUGGUUGUUUGGGUGUUUGUUGUAAGGAAUUUCGGAGGAUCGCUGAUGGGUGAGUGGCGGUUGGAAGGAGAGGAACGGUGCUUCGCAAUGGCGGUGGAUGAAGAAAUCGGAAGAGGUGAGAUGUUGCAAGGUGUAGGAAGGAGAGGAAUGGUGUUGGUUCCGCGACGGAAGGAAAUGGUCACGGUGAGGCGUCGCGGUGGUGUUGCGCGUGGACAGAGGAUUUUGUGGGUGUGAAGCGGUGGAAGUUGCUAUGGUGGUGAGCGAAUCGUGUGGAGAUGUGGUGAAGGAGGAUUGUUUUUGAGGGAGAUGAACGGCGAAGAGAGAUGAGAGAAUGGUGGUUCGUGCCUCUCUUCUCCUUUUUCGUUUUUUGUUCUCUUUCGUGAGUGAGAGGGUGAGAGAGAGGUGAGUUGGUAGGUGGUGAUGUGUGAAGAGAGAAUCUGAGAGAGGAUUUUUGUGAGCUGUCCACUUUCUUUUUUAUUUUCUUCUUGGUAGGUGAGGAAGAGAUAAAGUGAGUGACGCCUGUGUGUGAGAGAGACAUGAGGUGAGAGAAAGAGAGUGUGGUUUUGUGAGAGAAAAUCUUUUCUAAUCUUUUCUUGUUUUUAUUCGUUGAGAAUCUGUGAGAGUGAGGGAGAUGUGGUAUGUAGUGAUUUGUGAAGAGAGAAUCUGAGAGAGGAUUUUUGUGAGUUGUCCAGUUUCUUUUUUAUUUUCUUCUUGGUAGGUGAGGAAGAGAUAAAUUCAGUGACGCCUGUGUGUGUGAGAGACGUGAGGUGAGAGAAAGAGAGUGUGGUUUUGUGAGAGAAAGUCUUUUCUAAUCUUUUCUUGUUUUUAUUCGUUGAGAAUCUGUGAGAGAGAGUGAGGGAGAUGUGGUAGGUAAGAGAGACGUGAGAGGUGAGGGAUUUGUGAGUGGGUGACGCAUGUGAGAGAGAGAGAGAGAGGUGGGAGACGCGUGUCAGUGAGGUGUGAGCUGAGAGAGGAAAAUGUGAGUGAGUUGUAGGUGAGGAGAGAGGGUGGCGGACGCGUGUGAGUGUGAGACGCGUGUGUAGGUAGUGACUUGUGUGUGAGUCAGUUUUUGAAUUCCUUUUCGUUUUGUUAACAAUUAUUAUUAUCUAUUAUUAAAGAAAAAUAUUCAUUAAAAAUUCUUAGACAGUAAUUUAAUUUAGAAAAUGAUAAUAAUAAAACAAAUCUCUAAUUUGGAUAUUAGAACAAAGGAAUAAAAGGAUUGAUUAUAAAUAGAAGUCGGAUGUAAAUUUGCUCGAAAAUUUAAAUCAGACACACUAAAAUGAUCAGAACAAAUUAUACUUAUUGAAAAAAUAUAGCGCUUCUUCAAAUUCUGAAAUAAAUUUGCACCGGUUAAAAGGCUCAGGCGGGUCAAAACGCAACCGAAACAGCCGCUAAAAAAUAUGACGGACACACCAGGUUAAACUACGUGAACCGUAGGUUAAUGAUACUGGCGUCUUUAAUUUUAAUUUUGAAACUUUUUACCCGCUGAUUUUGCACAUUCUUGAGAAACAAUUUAACCAAUUUGUCUGUAUUUUCAAUAAUUAUUCCGAUUGAUAUUUAUUUUAUGAUGAAAUGUCUGUCAUGCUGUGCAUAUGAUGCAAAUUAAAAAUGAAAUCAAAUUUACGAAAAUUUAAACAUGCCCGGACAAAAUUGGGGUAUGACAGCUGCCCCUAUUUAAUUAACUUGAACUAGAAGGUAAGAAUGACAACGGUCUUCAUACACUCGUGGUGGAAGGUAAUUAAAUACGAAAAGAUCCAAAUUUUGUCCUUUGAAAUGCAAUGGAGAAAUGCAGAAAGAAAAUGCAACGAAUUCUACAGCACCAAGGUAAUAGGGGUAGAAUGCAAAAUCAAUGUCAACCCUCGAGUCGACACUCGAUCUUGCAAAGGUCGUAUUGACAUGAGGACAAAAACUGCACAGGUUUCCUGGCGAUAAAAGGACGACAGUAGAAAUUGCCACCACCAAAAGGAUGAUAGUAAUUCACCAUGAUUUCCCGGAUUGUCAUCACCAAAAGGAUGAUGAAUAAACCAAGCUUAAAAGGUAGUCAUCACCAAAAGGAUGAUGGUUACAGUGGAUACAACAAAGAUCGCCAUCACCAAAAGGAUAAUGGUAAGAUCAACAACAAAUCUUGCUAUCACCAAAAGGAUGAAAGUUAGACACAAUCCAAAGAUUUCCAUCACCAAAAGGAUGAUGUCCGUCACCAAAAGGAUGAUGGUCAUUCUGAUAAAGUUUCCCAUUACCGAGAGUAUAAUAUCAAGGCUAUCACCAAGAGGAUGAUAGUUAACUCAUCAACUUCAAAGAUCAUUGUCACCAAAAGGGUGAAGGUAAAAUCCAACAAUAAACCUGUUAUCACCAAAAGGAUGAUAAUAAGUCAACGAUCACCAAUGAUCACCGUCACCAAAAGGAUGAAGGUAAAGUCACACAACAAACUUGUUAUCACCAAAAGGAUGAUAAUAAGUCGAAACUCAAUGAUCACCAUCACCAAAAGGAUGAAGGUAAGUUACAAGACAAAACUUGUUACCACCAAAAGGAUGAUAAUAAGUCAAAACAAUCACCAUCACCAAAAGGAUGAAGGUAAAAUUAAAACAGAACUUGUUACCACCAAAAGGAUGAUAAUAGUUCACGACACCUUAAAUGAUAACCAUCACCAAAAGGAUGAAGGUAAGAACAAAACUUUAAAACUUGUUAUCACCAAAAGGAUGACAAUAAGCACACAACUCAAAUGAUCACCAUCACCAAAAGGAUGAAGGUCAGGUAAAAGACGAAGCUUGUUACCACCAAAAGGAUGACAAUAAGUCAAUAACUUCAAUGAUCACCAUCACCAAAAGGAUGAAGGUAAGAUCAAAAACAAAACUUGUUACCACCAAAAGGACGACAAUACGUCACGACAAUCCAAGUGAUCACCAUCACCAAAAGGAUGAAGGUAAAUUUAAACAACCAAACUUGUUACCACCAAAAGGAUGAUAAUGAGUCAACAAUCACCAUCACCAAAAGGAUGAAGGUAAAAUUAAACAACAAAACUUGUUACCACCAAAAGGAUGAUAAUAAUAAGUCAACGACUCAAAUAAUCACCAUCACCAAAAGGAUGAAGGUAUUACCAAUAACAAAACUUUGUUAUCACCAAAAGGAUGAUAAAAGGUUACAACCACUUAAAUGAUCACCAUCACCAAAAGGAUGAAGGUAAAAUCAAGACAAAAACUUGUUACCACCAAAAGGAUGAUAAUAAGUCACAACCUUAAUGAUCACCGUCACCAAAAGGAUGAGGGUAAGAUCAAUAACAAAACUUGUUAUCACCAAAAGGAUGAUAAUAAUUCGACAGUCACCAUCACCAAGAGGAUGAAGGUAAGACCCAACAAUAAAACUUGUUAUCACCAAAAGGAUGAUAAUAAGUCAAAACAGUUUAAGUGAUCACCAUCACCAAAAGGAUGAAGGUAAGAACAAAACUUCAAAACUUGUUAUCACCAAAAGGAUGAUAAUAGGUUGACAGUCACCAUCACCAAAAGGAUGAAGGUACUACAAACAACAGAACUCGUUAUCACCAAAAGGAUGAUAAUAAGUUACAACACUUUAAAUGAUCACCAUCACCAAAAGGAUGAAGGUAAGAUCAAAAAUGAAACUUGUUACUACCAAAAGGAUGAUAAUAAGUCGAUAACUUCAAAUAUCACUGACACCAAAAGAAUGGCAGUAGGGUUGGACUUUCCCUAGGUUACAAUCACCGAAAGGAUGAUAGCUUAAACCAACUCCAUAAUUUUUAUCACCAAAAGGAUGAUAAUAAGAUUGAACUGGACGUCAUCACCAAAAGGAUGAUGAUUAGACAUAAUAAGCGAGACCAGCAUCAGCAAAAGGAUGAUGGUCGAAUCAACAUGACAAGGGUCCUUAUCUCCAUAAGGAUUUCCGACACCAAAAGGAUGAUGGUAAGCUGUAAUAAUUGCAGCGGUUACCAUUCACCAAAAGGAUAAAGGUUGGACCAAAAGCUCCAAGGAUCACCGACACCAAAAGGAUGGCGGUAAGAUCGAACGACAAAACUUGUUACCACCAAAAGGAUGACAAUAAGCUUUAAUAAUGAGGGGUCUCCAUUCACCAAAAAGAUGAAGGUUGAAUCAAAACUUCAAGGAUCUUCGACACCAAAAGGAUGAAGGUAAGAUCAAACGACAAAACUGGUUACCACCAAAAGGAUGACAAUAAGCUUUAAUAAUGAAAGGUCGCCAUUCACCAAAAGGAUGAAGGUUAGAUCAAGACCUCAAGGAUCUUCGACACCAAAAGGAUGACGGUAAGAUCACAAAUGUCAAGGAUUUACCAUUACCAAAAGGAUAACGGUUACCGUAAACAGGGUGAUGAUUAAUAUUAUUCCUCAAUGAACUUUCACCAAAAGGAUGAUAGUGAGAAAAAUAUUUGGAAAAAUAUGACUAUUGUCAAAAUUCAAUAAACCCGACUUGUUGGGUAGUAUUGGAAUAUUACUGGGUAAAACUUGUUUGGGGUAUCAACAAUAAAAGGUUGCAGAACAAAUAUUCUCUGGGGAGAUGUAAUUUCCAUCAACAAAAGGUUUAAAGGAACAACUCAUUGAGGGACGCUCAACGCGAAACAAGGUAAGUGUUUAGAGAAACAAUGUUUGACUUAGCUGAGGAUAACGUCUUAUCAACAAAAGGUUGAAGGAUGUAGCUCAAUGGGGAACGCCCGAUAGUAGGGUAGGAACUCACUUAGAAAAAGUGACAAUGACUCAACUAAGGGUUGGCCUGGAUGCCUACGACUAAACCUUGGAUUUUGAUUCGUGUUUAUGUGCAUGAAUGAUAUGUAUGCGUUAUGUAUGAGGCGAUGCAUGUAGUGCAUGUGAUGCAUGUUUGUAUGCAAAGGAUGAUUGGUUUGUUUGGGAUUGGCCCCUCUUUCAAAGGCAAUGUAUUUUCUGGAAACCAGUGUUGGUUGUAUUUGUUUUUGUGUGGGUGCGAGCAAGGUGGACUUGGGUUUUUUCUGGUAAUUGUCGUUGCGGGUUGGACUAUUGAUUGGUGAAAGGAUUUGACUGCCCGACACUCAGUAGUUGAUGAUGCGAUGAACACAUAAUGGAUGUGGAUGCUCUUGGUGCCCCAAGUUUGAUCUCUUGCUGAUAUAUUAUGUAUUUGUCUUUGAGAAGAUCUCGAUUUCUUCUUCUGAUGCAUUUGGCAAGCCUGUAACUGAGCAUAGCAACGUGAUCCACGCAUGAUGAUCAUGCCUUUGACGUGUCCUAAGGACUCUUGUCAAGAUAUGAUAUUGUACUGGUAUGAACUUUCAAUAUCUUGGUUGUGAAUUCAAACAGUUUUCAGUGUCUGACGCAAUCUGCUUGACUGACUUGAAGAUAUGAAGGGAAUUUGCCCCUUGCAACUUGUCUUGCCCCAGUCUGUAGGGUGUUCAAAGGAAUUCUCCUUGCAAGGAAACCUUAGGAGUGAUUAUCCCAUGACAUGGUCUGAGCCUGUUUCCUUCAAUGUUUGACUCUUGCAAUGGUCUGCCCCUUGAUUAGCCUUUGGGGGACUUGCCUCAGACGGACCGAGUAUUGAAGUGUUUUUCCUCCCUAAUCAACCGAUGCUUGGAGAUUUGUCUUAUACUGACUACUUCUUAAGUCAAUACAAUCAAAAAGAUGCCAUGUCCUUGAUUCAUAGGAUUAUGAGAUGGUUUUGAUUCAUGUUAGCACCAACGAUCAAGUGCCUCUUGAAUUGCCCCUUGUUGGAAUUUUCUCGAUGUCAAGUACUGACUGACAAAUAAGAAUUGUUUAUUCAAGAAAUGAUGGUUUUAAUGCAAUAGUUAUGCAAGUUUUUGAAAAACAAUCAUUCGUUUGGAGCAUUGUGGUAGUGUGUGGCGAGUGGACCAUGAGUCCAAACGCGGUGUUGAUUUUAGCUAGCGUGUAAGUGAUAUGGUGAGAACAAAAUAUUAGCAAAUCUCUAGGAGUCCGCUUAUGCAGCCUUGCUGUAGUAUGCUUUCAGAAUAAACCUUACUUCAAUUAGGUCUUUUGAAGGUUUUAACGUGGCUUGGUUCACGAUUAUUGAAACGAAAGGAUAUAAGGCUCAAAGUUUAUUUUAACCCAUCCCUUCUUCAUGAUGAUCUCCAAUCCUACAUUCAGUUAAUUCGACACACUUUACUUUUACGAGAGUUCAGCAGUGUAAGAUCUAUUGAAAUGACAGUCGUCUUAUUUUGCUCUUUAUGGAUGUUGGUGACCCCUUUUUUGGUAUAGUGGUCACCGAAUCUUGUUUUAUUUUGUUAAGGACUUCCAUUGCCUCUUUCGAUUUUUGUUUUGAUCCCUAAUUUUUGCAUGGACUGCAUUUUUGAAGCUUUAAUCCAUCGGGAUUGCCCCAGUUUUUUCCUAAGUCUCCUUUUAGGGUGUUCGACUUAGCGGGCUUUUGAUUUUUUCUGAAAAUUGUGACUGCCAAGUCAUUAGUCAUUGAAGAACAACCAACAUAAAUCUUGGAUUUUGUAUGGUUCCCUCGACACUUCAGGGUGUGUAUGAAGACUGGUAUGUAGUUGAUCCACGUAUGGGAUAUUUCAUCUUGUAAUUCGAAUGUGUAGUCAGAUUAACUGAACACUAUCCUGCCCCAGGUUAAGCAUAAGGGUUUGUUGAUCCGAAAGAAACUCCUACUUCUAGGCUCGAAGUGGUUGACUAGGGAUUAACUCCUUAUCUCUCCGGUGUUUGGGAUUUUGAAACAAUGCAUGUACAUCAUUAGCAGGAUUUUAUCUGAAAGUAUACAAUCAACAAUUAUGAGUAUUUUGUUUUCGUCAUCCUCCUUCCAACAUUUACUAAUAAUAGUGUGAUAAAGAAGGUGAAGUGGAACAAUAUGUGUUUGUGCUUUGCAAAUGUGAUAGAUGAGUGAAUAUGAAAGAUUGAUUCAAAGCAUGCAUAAUCAUCCCAUUAAUAAGACCAAAUACAAAUAACAAUGUUUAAAGCAUACAAUACUUAAACAAACAAGAACAAAUUACAAAAGUGCAAAAUGGUAAAAAUGGCAUAAUGAUUGCCUUCAUUUGAAGAAAUGGGCCUUCAUCUCUUGAUUCUCUAUGAGGAAUCGCUCUGCUUGUUUAGGCCGGUAGGAAGCUUUAUCUUCGAGCUUCACUCAACUCUGCAUGCACUGGCAUGGGAUUUGUUGCAACGUUUGGCCUAACUGGCGUGAAAGAAACUGCCUUACUCUUAAUCAAAUCUUGGACCUUGUUUUUGAAGGCCUUACAAUUCUCCACUGUGUGCCCUAGGGCACCCAUAUGGUACUCGCAGUGAGCAUUGGCGUCAUAGCCUGGUGGAUGAGGUGGAGUUGUAGGUGUUAGCUCCUUUAAAACAAUUGAUCCAUCCUUUAGCAGGUAGGGUAGGAUCUUGCUGUAUGGUACUAGCAAUGGAUCAAAAUGUCUUUUUGGCCUCCUUGCCCUUUACUGAUUAGGUUGACAUUGUUGUGGAGCAUGUUGUUGUUGAUUCUGAUGUGGCUACUGAUAAGCUGGUUGUUGAUAAGGCUGCUGAUAUUGUUGUUGAUAUGGUUGCUGAUAUGGUGGCUAAUACAGUGUUGGGAUGACAGCGGCAACCUGAUGAUAAGGUAUAGAAGCAUACGGAGGUGCCCUAUAUCCUCCUCCUCUCAUUAUGGCAUUGGUUUGACCUUAUGGCUUCUUUGGGAGAUUAGGAUAAGGUUUCUUCAUCCCACUUGAAGCAUUGGUAGCGCAAGGUAGCUUUCCCUUCUUGAUCUGGCUCUCGAUUCGUUCUCCCACGGAGACAACCUUAGAAAAAGUAGGGAAACUGGAUCCCACCAUCUUCUCCAUGUAUUGGGUAUGCAGAGUUCCCAUAAACAUAUCAAUUAGCUCCUUAUCAAGGAGAGAAGGUUGGACACGAGCUGCUAGCUCUCUCCAACGAUGGGCGUAUUCCUUGAAUGACUCAUUAUUAUGUUGAGUCAUGUCUUGCAGCUGUGUGCGAUUGGGUGCUAUAUCAGUAUUGUACUGAUAAUGCCUAAGGAACGCUUCAGCGAGAUCUCUCCAAGACUGGACCUGUCCUCUUUCUAAUUGCAUAUACCACUCCAAGGAUGCCCCACUAAGGCUAUCUUGGAAGUAAUGAAUCAGGAGUUGAUCAUUACUGAUGUGGGCAGCCAUCUUACAAUAGUAAGCUCUGAGAUGAGUUCUAGGGCAGCUGAUUCCUUUGUAUUUAUCAAAGUCCGGGACUUUGAAUUUAUGCGGAAUCACAAGGCCUGGUACCAAGGACAUGUCAACAGCGUCUAAACCGGAAGUAGUGUGAGCCUCCAAGGACUUGAAUUUCUCUUCCAGGGCAUGGAGUCUCUCGACAGCAGGGUCUAGGAGACCUCCAACAACAGGUUUGGUAAGUUGUGGCAUGAAGAAAGCGUCAUACGGAUCUUCAUCACCCAUCAUGGAUCCAUGUCGAGCAGAUGUAGCAGAAUGCUCGUGGGGGUUCACGUUGACCAUGAGAAUAGGAAUAGGGAUGGGUCCUCCUUUAGGAUGGGCAGGAUUACCAUCAAGGUCAGUCAUUCCAGGGAUGCUAAGCGAUGGUGAUCCAAACUGAGUAGCAACUUUUUUGGCUUCGGCGCUAGUCUCAGCAUCCUUCUCCUUCUAGGAUAAGAGCAACAUAGUUUCAAGCAAACGGUCCAUCUUCACUUGCAUGGAGUCAAUGUCUGUCCUCAUUGAAACCUGGUUUGCUUCAAGUUGUUCGAGCGUUAUCUUGUAGUUGCGGCGUGUCUCGUACCGGUGUCGAGUAGUCAGCGUUACUGGACAAAGGGUAGAAUAUGGUGUUAGUCUUUGUUCCUGGAAGAUGAUAUGCAAUGUAUGUUAAUGGUAUGCAAAUGCAUGAAAUUUUGCCAUGUUUUCGCAAAGGAAUACAAAUACUCAAGAUCAUUCACACGUCGUGUACGUCAGGGUAAAAGGAAGAAGCAGAGGUGUCUCUGGUCACUGAAAUUCCCAAGGGUAGGCUCUAAAGUUGAUAGGUUCCCAGAGUCAUUGAUUCUCAUCGAGAGCGUCACUGCCGUGACGAAGACUCAUCGGACAGUAAUACCCCUAAGAUAAUCUCAUCUUAGGCGAGGCCUUCGUAUUGUCCCAACAAGGAAGACUCCACGAGGAUUCUACUACGCGACUCUCGAGUCCAAGGUUCUAAUAAGGUUCUCAGAGUCAUAGAUCGAGGUUGGAAAUAUUAUUGUAGGAUAAUAAUACGUCCAAUGGAUCUCAUCUGAUUGGGGUUUUCGUAUUAACCCAACAAGUCUGAGACUUUUUAGGUAAAUACUACAUAACCACCGGGUAUAGUAGGUUAAAAGGUCCCUAGAGCAAUUGAUCCAACUUGAAACACCAUCACCGUGACGAAGGCUCGUCGGACAAUAAUAUCUAAAGAGAAUCUCCUCUAGGCGGGGUCUUCGUAUCUUCCCAACAAGGAAGACUCCUUGUGGGCGUCCACUACACAACCACCAACUUAAUCUUAUGGUUUUUCUCAGACUCGGGUGGAGAGCCUAUCUCACAAAGUACCAACAAUCAGAGAACCCCAAUAAUAUUAUAGGAAAUAGACCAUAACACAGUAAUUACAACAGAAUCAUAAUAACAGAAUAAAGGUAACAAACAAACAAACAAGAUUAACAUUCAAUACAGAUAUUGAACUAAGUUAGGCUUCACUCUCUCUUGCUUGGAGCACAAAUCCCCAGCAGAGUCGCCAGUCUGUCGCACCUCGAAAAAAAAUGCGAUCCCUCGCGAUAGGACGCGGAAAAAUGUUAGUUCGAACAGAGUCGCCACCGAACUUUAUUCAUUCCAACGAAGGAAUAGGAAAAUAUCGAGAAAACCUUUAAGAAAAUAGAAUAAUGGUCGUCGCAACCAUAUUCGGGUUCGGGAGUGGAUUACGCAAGGGGAAGGUAUUAGCACCCCUCACGUCCGUUGUACUCAACGGGAACCUUUUAGUUCAAUUCUGCGAUUUGAGUGUUAACUUAUGUUGUUUGUUUUCUUCGAGUAAUUAAAGUUGGUAAUAGUGAUGGAUGAAGACCUCAGGAGGGGAAAAGGAGGUUUUUGUGCUCGCGAAGAUACAACAAUCUUCUACCUACGUAUCCUUAUGGUGCAAUAAGGAAAUCAGAGCAUUCGUAGCUUGAGCCACUAUGAAUAUUUGGUGUGUUUUGUUUGAUGAACGACUGUGUAGGUCGGCGUUCUAAAGGUUAAACGUUGGCUUGUCUACUCUCGGCGGAGGCUCUAGCACUAGUUUGUUAUGCGCAUUAGAAAGGAUUAACAAUGUUCUUUUGAAAAGAAGGGUUUUGGUCACCCGGGGGGUGACGAGUUGAUUAAGUAUCUUUGAUGUUUUGUUUGAUUGGUUUCGAUCACAUGAGCGCGAGAAAAGAUAGAUUUGAUAUGUUGAGAUAUUUUUGGUUGGAUGACAAUUACUCAGAUGGCCGAGUAAGACAACUCGUAUCCUAAUAGUCGGGAAAGGGAAUAAAAGACUCUAUACCACUUUCUUUUUCAUCCUUAAUUAUAAAAAGGAUUUUAAUAAUGAUUAAGGUGUUUUUGAAAGGAUGACGAAUACUCAGAUGGUCGAGUAAGACAACUCGUAUCCUAAUAAUCGGGAAAGGGAAUAGAAGACUCUAGACCGCUUUCUUUUUCAUCUGAGUGAUUAUGAAAAUAGGUUUGUGUAUGGUUGGUGUGUUUUAGAAUGAACGACAAGUACUCGAAUGGCUAAGUAAGACAACUUAUAUCCAAGCAUUUGAGGAGAGGAAUCGAAGGCUCAAAAAUAUCUCCCUUUUCGUAUGGUUUAUUGUGAAAAUGAUUUGACUUACAGUAUGAGUUAGCGGAAAAACGACAAUUGUUCGACUGACCGAGUAAGAGAACUCGUAUUCAAACAAUUGAGGAGAGAAGUUGAAGACUCAAAUUCAUCUCCCUUUUCAUUUUUUUAUUAUGAAAGUGUUUUGAUUUAAUCGGAUUUAGAAGUUUGUAGAGAAACGACAAUUAUUUGACUAACCAAGUAAGAGAACUUGUAUUCAAAUAAUCGAGGAGAAAAAUUGAAAACUCAAAGUCAUCUCCCUUUUCGUUUCUUAUUAUAAAAUGAUUCGAUUUGUUUGUGCUUAGGUGGAUAGAAGUGACGACUAUUUGACUAACCGAGUAAGAGAACUCGUAUUAAAAUAAUCGAGGAGAGGAAUUGAAAACUCAAAGCCAUCCCCCUUUUCAUUUCCAAAUGAAAUGGUAUUUGAUUGUGAUUGGGCAUUUUAAUUUGACUUGGAUAAAAAUACUCCACAUUGGGUCGAGGUUUUAAAUUUGUAUUUUGUGAAUAGAUUAGAUUUUAUUUUAGUAAAUCGUUCAUCUACUCGAUUAAUUAAUAACCGAAUAGGUCUCAUUAUAAGGAAGCCCAAGAUCAAGCUAUGUGAGGUUGAUGGCGAUGCUAGAAGCUAUCGACUUACAAGGGUAUGAAAAUGGGCUCGACAUUGAAUCGAGAAUUGUGUGGUUUGUAUUUUUGAAAUCAGUUUUGAAUUGAUGAUGGAGAUGAAUUGGUGAUGAAAGGAGUCAAUCAAUUCCUAAUUAUCAAAAUUAAUUGAUUAUAGUUCGAUUAAAUCGAUUAACUAAAUUAAUCAAGAUUAAUUAGCAAAAUUAUUUAAUUAAAUCAAAUAAUCAAGUUAAUUAGAAUUAAUUAACAGUAAUUAACCAAUUGGUCAAAAUUUAAUUAUGUUCGAUUAAAUCGAUUAACUAAAUUAAUCAAGAUUAAUUAGCAAAAUUAUUUAAUUAAAUCAAAUAAUCAAGUUAAUUAGAAUUAAUUAACAGUAAUUAACCAAUUGGUCAAAAUUUAAUUAAUCAGUUUAUUAAAAUUAAGUUAUGAUCAAUUUACUUAAUUGAAUAGGUGUGCUCAAACCUGUUUGUGCAAAAUGACAACAUGAUUAAUGUCAUUCGCAAGAUCCAAACGCGGCGAAAAUAUUCUAUUGAUGUAUUGGGAAUUGGGCGGCAUAACGACAUAUAAAAGUCGAAUCCUCAGACUUGAGUCUGAUUUGAACAAAGUGCGAUACAAUAAGAACUCAAAUCAUUUACAAGGUUUUUUUUAUUUAUAUCAUAUGAGAGGUGUAAAAUGAUGUGGAGUGACAAAAAGAAAUGGGCUUUGAAUUCAUUUAUCUUCUAAACCAACAACCAAUAAUUCUCUUAACCCAACUUAUCUAAAACAAACAUAUUAGAAAAUAGGUCUUUGAAAUUACAUUACACUACCUAUUGAAUAGAGAUCAAAACAAAACAAAAUAAUCAAUUAAAAAAAUAAAAACAUAAACAAGGUGGCCAUUGAUAAGAACUCAUUACACUACCUAUUGAAUAGAGAUCAAAACAAAACAAAAUAAUCAAUUAAAAAAAUAAAAACAUAAACAAGGUGGCCAUUGAUAAGAACACGAAAUUAAAUAGAAACUUUAAUAUACAAAAGCACCAGGCGUACGUAGCAAUGGACUUAGAGUUCAAUCUACCAUUCCAAAUAGAACUAACAAUAAACAAUACAAUGGCUGCAUAUAGUAAAUAAGUAGAUAAUAAAAAUAAAUGAAUGAUAUAGAAAUGAGUCAUGUGGCCUUUUCCAGCAACAACAAAAUCCAGCGUUAAAGCAAAACUCAUCACUAAUCAGUAAAUUUCGCACAAUGGUAAUAAGAAAAUAGAUAAUUAUUUGGAAUUUAGUUCUCAUCUUUGAUGAAUAUUAAAAAGAAUGAGUUGCAGGACUCAUUAAAGAACAAAAUAUUUAAGCUUCUACUCUAACAUAAACCAGAAGGCAUAAACGAAACAAGCUUCCAUUGCUAAAGCAAAAAAGUCACAAAAUCAUAAUGCAUCUCUUAAUUCAGAUGGGAGCAUAUGUUUAGAUCAAAAAGGAAAACCGACCGCAAUAAUGAUAACGAGUUGUAAGUUGAAGAUGAGGGUUUCACGGCGGAGGUGAAGGAUGGAUUCGCGAUGGUCGGAGAGUUGAGGAAUAGUGGAGGUCGCGUUGGUCGGCGUGAAAAGGAGUGGUUGUUUGGGUGUUUGUUGUUAGGAAUUUUGGAGGAUCAGUGAUGGGUGAGCGGCGGUUGGAAGGAGAGGAAUGGUGCUUCACAAAGGUGGUGGAUGAAGAAAUCGGAAGAGGUGAGAUGUUGCGAG
rnacentral:lncRNA from 1 species